rnacentral:rRNA from 1 species
GAUGAACGCUGGCGGCGUGCUUAACACAUGCAAGUCGAACGAAGCACUUUAUUUGAUUUCCUUCGGGACUGAUUAUUUUGUGACUGAGUGGCGGACGGGUGAGUAACGCGUGGGUAACCUGCCUUGUACAGGGGGAUAACAGUUGGAAACGGCUGCUAAUACCGCAUAAGCGCACGGCGUCGCAUGAUGCAGUGUGAAAACCUCCGGUGGUAUAAGAUGGACCCGCGUUGGAUUAGCUAGUUGGUGAGGUAACGGCCCACCAAGGCGACGAUCCAUAGCCGACAUGAGAGGGUGACCGGCCACAUUGGGACUGAGACACGGCCCAGACUCCUACGGGAUGCAGCAGUGGGGAAUAUAGCACAAUGGGCGAAAGCAUGAUGCAGCGACGCCGCGAGAGCGAAGAAGUAUUUCGGUAUGUAAAGCUCUAUCAGCAGGGAAGAUAAUGACGGUACCUGACCAAGAAGCCCCGGCUAACUACGUG